rnacentral:rRNA from 1 species
UACGAAGGGGGCUAGCGUUGUUCGGAAUCACUGGGCGUAAAGCGCACGUAGGCGGACUUUCAAGUCAGGGGUGAAAUCCCGGGGCUCAACCUCGGAACUGCCUUUGAUACUGUUGGUCUCGAGCCCGGAAGAGGUGGGUGGAAUUCCUAGUGUAGAGGUGAAAUUCGUAGAUAUUAGGAAGAACACCAGUGGCGAAGGCGGCCCACUGGUCCGGUGCUGACGCUGAGGUGCGAAAGCGUGGGGAGCAAAC